rnacentral:lncRNA from 1 species
AACAAAACAGGAGAUAAGAAUCCAAAUGGGGUACAAGGACCAGCUAUGUUAACAACAAACCAAAAUCUACAAAAAGUAAAUACUGACGAAAUUAAUAUAUCAAAGAAAAAUGUAAGUACAUUGAUAAGAGAAAUGAAAAAAAAAAGAAGUACGCUCAAUGAAGAAUAUAAUAACUUGAGACAAUAUAUGUUGGAAAAUUUUACUGGAAAAAACCUUGAGUAUAAUGAUAGUAUGGAGAAUGUAGUUCGUUUAUUCUUGUCAAAAUUUACAGGCGAACUUUCACAUGGAAAUAAAGGUUACUCUAUACUUUUUUUUCAUUAUACUAAAAAUAAUAAGACAAAUGAUCCAGCUAAAAUUGUCCCAAAAAUUUUGGUAUGUAAAUUUAAUAAUCAUAUGAAAUCAUGUGGUAGAGUAGAUUCAUCACAAAUGCGAGAUAUUUAUGCAGUUGAAAACCAUAAAGAUCAAAUUGAAAACAGCAUAUUUAUGCUAUCAAAUAUAUACACUAAAAAUAUUAAUAUCAACGACGAAGAUUUCAAAUCAGGUUACUUCGCAUACUUUAUAGAUUAUUUUUACAACUCUGAAUUAAAACAAAUGAAACUCUCAAUAAACGGCAUUAUAUGUACAAGUAAAACCAAUAACAAAAAUUGUGAAAUGUUGAACCCUUUGCCUCUCAAUAAAUCAUUGUAUCCAGAUCUGUGUUUUUAUAUUAAACCACUGAACAUCCCCAUACAAAAAACUAAUUCUUUAAAUGAAUGUACUGUUGAUGAAGGUUUUUAUAAAUUACCAUAUUCAGAUGAUCAUCCAGAUAAACUUUACAUGUUAAAACGUUUUAAAUAUAAUUAUUACUAUUAUACAGAAUUUCCGGUAUCAUUUUUUUUAAAACAUUUCUGUGGUAAAAUAAAAAUAAAUGAAAAUGAAUGUAAAAAAAUGUAUUCGCAUAUAAACCAGCAGGUGAAAGAAAAUCCUAAUAAAGCUUUAGAUUUUCUAACAACAUGUAUGGGAUCUUAUUAUAAGGAAGCAGGACAACCAGCUAAUACUGAUUCUACAAAAUUAAAAAAAAAAAUAAUAAAUAGCCCAACACGUAAAGAUAAAAUUCAUAAUAAAUUCUUAAAACAACUUCUAAAAUAUGUAAAUGAUCGUGACAUCAACCGUUGUAAAAAUACUUAUCAAAUAUUAGCUACCUUUAAUUCACUUAGAUAUUCCGAAUUAGCAUCUAAAUUUAACCAAAUUACCAACAAUUAAGCUAAUAUUUCCACAGGUCAUACCAAUUUAUUUACCCAGCCCACAUAAAAUUGCCACUAAAUCAGAACCCAGCUUUAAAAGAAAUACCACUAUAUCAAAAUUCACUAUUGUAAAUAAUAACGAUAAACCAGAACCCCUUCCUGAAAAAAAAAAAAGGACUCUAAAUCAGCACCCAGCCUUGAAGCAAAUGACUCUAAGUCAGCACUCAACUCUUAAGGUAAUACCAUUAUAUCAGCACCUAGCCCUCAGGCAAAUGACAUUGAAUUAGAAUCUAGUGCUACAUUUUUUAAUUUAAUUUAU